UCAUAAAUAGAUAAACGGCCCAUUUAAGGGCUCCAUAGAUCAACCAAAAUUCCCUGCGGUGGGUUUACCCCGGAUCCGACUCCACUCUUCCAGGUUCCAAGAAAUACCCCUCAAUUUCAUGCCUAAAAAGACCUUUAUCUUCCAUGGCGUUUCUGAAAGUAGUUUAAAAAUGGCAGUUUCUUAUACACAGUUUUCGAUUGUAUCUGCACAACCUUAGUUACCUGCUAUGAUGUCUCUCAAACUUAAUUCUCCGGCCGUCAAUGGCUUUCAGGUUUUACGACAGUUGACCAAUUCUAAUAUGUGUAUUUUGAGCAUCAGAUUAUACGGGACACGUCCAAUUGCAAGACCUAGAAUAGCCUGCAAUAUGAACGUAGCAGCUGGACAAUCUGAUGAACCUCACAAAUUUAACUUGGAGACCGGACAAGGAAAUUGCGGGACAGAACUCCUACACGUGAAGAGUUUCCCUUGGAAUAGAGCACUGACAUUGUUUUGACAAUUACCAAAUACCAGUGCUUGUAUUUGCCUCAAUCAUUUGAUUGCCAUUGGCCUUUUCUUCACUCUGCUAAAGUUGCCGGGACCGUAUUAUCCAUAUUGGGAUCGAGUUUUUAUUCCACACUUUGCAAAUGGGGCAUUGUUUAGAACUCUGCGAUUUGCUUUCCUCUGGUACAGAAGGCCUAGGAAGUCAUUAGAAAAGGCCCUGCCUGAUUCAAUAGUUGCUGAUCCUGAACAAAAGGAGCUAUAACUUUUUGGCGACGAAGUAUUUGAACUGGUAAUAAUAUCUGUUUUCCUAAAAGUAGUUUCAUUUGCAUGUUAAAACUUGUUGCUACUUGCGCCCUAAAGAAAAAUGAUACAUGUACCUUUCCUUUGGUUAUAAAAAAAGAAAAAUAAUACAGCCGCCAAUGCUUGGCCAAAGGUGUUCUAAAUGAGAAAGGCGUUGUAGUUGUUUGUGACAUGCACUUUUGUCUACUGUAAGUGCAUAUGUGCUCUUUUCUUUUUAAGGGGCAAAGGGAAUUGAGAAUACAAUAUGUUUGUAGUAAGCCUGCUUGAUAGGUCUUGCACAUUUGUAAAUUUUGUUUUGACUAUUGUCACCUACGUUGCACGGAAUCUCCCGAAUGAAAGUUACUUAAAUAUUCUAUGAUCAACUCUAAUGAUAAUGCCCGUAUCAGUUGCAUUAAGCUAAUGCCCGUAUCAGGUAGAUGACGGUCUAAGAAGUAUUGGGGAGAGGUGAUCAGGCAGGACCUGACACGAUUGCAGAUUUCCGAAAACAUGGCCCUUGAUAGGAAGGUUUGGAAGUCGAGCAUUAGGGUUGUAGGAUAGGGUGGUAGUCAAGCUUUUCCUCCUCCAUUCCAGGGGUGAAACGAGUUUGAGUAGGUUGGUCCUAGACAGGCUUGUGGUUAAUGUAGCGUUCACACUAACCUUACUGUUUUCCAUAGCUCUAGAGCUUAGUUGUAGGUUAUGGUUAUUGCAUGUCAUCUAUUUUAUGGUUUUUAGGAUGCUGUCAUUAUUUCUAUGGUUAUGUUGACGUUACUGAUGAAUUGUUUUUUCUUGUUUUCUUGUUUUAUUUUCAUCUUCAUGAGCCGAGGGUCUAUCGGAAACAGCAUCUCUGCCCUAUCGGGGUAGGGUAAGGUCUGCGUACACACUACCCUUCGCAGACCCCACUUAGUGGGACUUUACUGAGUCGUUGUUGUUUUGUGACCUUUCCAACUAAAUGAAUGUCCUUUAUAUCAAGGUCUAGGCUGUAUAUUAAUGCUUACUCAGAGAAGAUGUUUCUCUUGACGACUCUUGAAUGCUUUAAGCAACAAUUUGAACUUCCAACUUCAAAGUCUAUUUGAAAUACAUUUAGACUUAAUGCAAAUGAUAUGAUGGCAAAGUCAUCCAAUAACUUAAUUAUACCUGUAAUCCCUUUGUAAUAGUUAGUAUGGUUAAGGUUUCUAUAUUUAACCAUUUGAGUAUUUGACUUUUAACUUUCGGAUGUGGAAUUAUAAAUUGCUAAGUAUUGGUAAUAGAAGCACCAGUUGUCUUUGAUAUUUAAGUUGUUAAAUGCAGUCAUGACAGCAAUGCAAGUGAUUCUUUGAUUUGGGUAUCAAAGUGUUUGGCUAGAGGUGGCAAACGGAGAGGUCGGAUCAGAUCGAAAACGGGUAAUGUAAAAACGGAUAAAUUAUUCUACCUGACCUAAUUUAAUACGGAUAAAAAUGGGUUAAUCUACUUAUAUUAUCCAUGGGUUUUUGAAUAUGAUCACUUUUGGGAGAAUUCCUAGUCUCCCAAACUCGAGGAACCCCAAUUUGAGUCUUUUCAAAUGUAAAAGCUAAACUCAUUAGUUAUCCAUUUUUCUAAUUGGAUAAUAUGGUUCUUAUCCAAUAUUUGACCCGUUUUUUAAAAGUUUAUUAUCCAACUCAUUUUUUAGUGGAUAAUAUAUAUGGGCGGAUUACUGUUGUUUUUAUCUAUUUUGCCACCACUAGUGUUGGCCAUUGGAAGUUUCUUUUGCAGUUCAGAAAAUUAGAUAUUUGCAAGGCACUGUUAACGACAGAUGAAAUUAUUUUGGUUAGGGGCAAAUCACUAUUUUUGGCAAAUUGUGCCACAGCAGUCAAUUGGUCUGGCUAUUGGAUCAACCAAGUUUGAAGAUCUUUGAUUUUCACUUUAAGAGGGCUUUGGUUUUUAGUUCUAGAUAAGAAAGCUUCUUUGCAAUCAGAAAAUAGGUAUAACAGUUAAUAGUUUUCAUUAUAAACACUUUCAGAUUUAUCUUCAGUGUAAUGCUCACAAGAGUGUCUCCCUUGUACUCUCUUCAUUGUAUUUUGUUCUCUUUGUAAUUGGAUUCUUAUGAGGUUACUAACUAUUAACCAGGUCAACUGGGAAGAGCAAUCUUAUUUCUGAUA